rnacentral:rRNA from 1 species
UACGUAGGGGGCAAGCGUUGUCCGGAAUCAUUGGGCGUAAAGAGCUCGUAGGCGGCUCAGUAAGUCGGGUGUGAAACCCCCAGGCUCAACCUGGGGACGCCACCCGAUACUGCUGUGGCUAGAGUCCAGUAGGGGAGUGUGGAAUUCCCGGUGUAGCGGUGAAAUGCGUAGAUAUCGGGAGGAAUACCAGUGGCGAAGGCGGCUGCCUGGCCUGUUCUUGACGCUGAGGCGCGAAAGCUGGGGGAGCAAACGGG